rnacentral:rRNA from 1 species
UGCUCUCUGGGUGGCGAGUGGCGGACGGGUGAGGAAUACAUCGGAAUCUACCUUUUCGUGGGGGAUAACGUAGGGAAACUUACGCUAAUACCGCAUACGACCUUAGGGUGAAAGCGGAGGACCUUCGGGCUUCGCGCGGAUAGAUGAGCCGAUGUCGGAUUAGCUAGUUGGCGGGGUAAAGGCCCACCAAGGCGACGAUCCGUAGCUGGUCUGAGAGGAUGAUCAGCCACACUGGAACUGAGACACGGUCCAGACUCCUACGGGAGGCAGCAGUGGGGAAUAUUGGACAAUGGGCGCAAGCCUGAUCCAGCCAUGCCGCGUGGGUGAAGAAGGCCUUCGGGUUGUAAAGCCCUUUUGUUGGGAAAGAAAAGCAGUCGGUUAAUACCCGAUUGUUCUGACGGUACCCAAAGAAUAAGCACCGGCUAACUUCGUGCCAGCAGCCGCGGUAAUACGAAGGGUGCAAGCGUUACUCGGAAUUACUGGGCGUAAAGCGUGCGUAGGUGGUUGUUUAAGUCCGUUGUGAAAGCCCUGGGCUCAACCUGGGAAUUGCAGUGGAUACUGGGCAACUAGAGUGUGGUAGAGGAUGGCGGAAUUCCCGGUGUAGCAGUGAAAUGCGUAGAGAUCGGGAGGAACAUCUGUGGCGAAGGCGGCCAUCUGGACCAACACUGACACUGAGGCACGAAAGCGUGGGGAGCAAACA